CCAGAACCAAGCAGAUGCUGACACCAUGCCCUUGCAUCUCCAGAACUAUAUUACUCAUGCCAACAUACUACAGAGGGUAUCCUAGGGCCUCGGCAAGAUCUUGUGCAAGUUUAAAUGAAGCCCUGAAGCUUGAAGUUUAUUAGCCGUAUGAGUCAUCUAUUAGAACCUCAUACCCACUGUGAUGAUAUUAAGAGGUGAAGCCUCUGGAAAAUGAUCAAGUCACUGAGGAACUCUCAACCUUCUACAAAAAGCUCCAGAGAGCUCCCUGGCCUCCUUCUGCCGCAUGAAGAUGCUCGGAAGGUGCCAUCUCUGAUCCAGAAACUGGAUCUGCUGGCAUCUUGAUCUUGGACUUCUCAGCCUCCAGAAUUGUGGCACUGCCAAUAGGCUUGCAGCCUGGAUGGAAUGAAAAGGCAGAAGGAGGAAGUCCGCCGGUAUUUGAAAAGUUCCACUCUGCUCGAAUGAGUGCAUCUUUUGCUUCGACCAUCACCAGUGGACAUGAGAUUCCUGCUUCUUCAGGCUUUCAACUCAGACUCUCACCAGUGACUCUCCAGGGAACUUCCAGGCUUUUGGUCUUAGACUUGUGCUGGCUGCAUCAAUCCCUCUUGUUCUAUGGCUUCGUGCUUCUCACGUUGAGCAGCUCCUGGAUCCCCUGAUCUCCAGCAUGCAGACAGCCAUGGUGGGGUCUCCCACUUCUGAUCCUGUAAGCCUUCCUAAUAAAAGCCCUUGCCUGA
rnacentral:lncRNA from 1 species